AGACGACGACUGUUGUCGGGUCAUUUGUGGUUGUCAUGAUAAUUAAAGGGGUUAUUACAUAACAAGUAUCACAGUGCAGUGAAUGGGGCAUUUCUGAUGAAGUUUUAUUACUAUGUACAUGCAGUAAUAAUAUUGGUAGUAUUUUUAUGUACAGUACAUCUUCCUUCUGGUAGCGCCCCCUGCUGCUUCUUCUGUGACUAGGUUUCUGGUCCACCUUCUCCUGCAUUCAGGGAUGGACACAUGCUCAGUAUCUUCUCUGCUCCCUCCUCCUGUCAGUGCCGGUGCAGUCAUCUCGUGGAGAAGCAGUGCAGACUCCUUUCAUUCAUCCCUACUUGUAUAUUCAUGGAGGAUGAAGAUCUGAACAAUAUUAAUGCUAUAGAGACAGAUGUGAGAAGCGAUGAGGAAUACAAGGAGGAGAUUCCUACAGAGACAGAUGUGAGGGGCGAUGAGGAAUACAAGGAGGAGAUCCCUACAGAGACAGAUGUGAGGGGCGAUGAGGAAUACAAGGAGGAGAUUCCUACAGAGACAGAUGUGAGGGGCGAUGAGGAAUACAAGGAGGAGAUCCCUACAGAGACAGAUGUGAGGGGCCAUGAGGAAUACAAGGAGGAGAUUCCUACAGAGACAGAUGUAAGGGGCGAUGAGGGAUACAAGGAGGAGAUCCCUACAGAUAAGAGCCCAGAUGACUGUACUGGGCGCUUGGAGAAACAUCUCAUAUCUACAUAUUAUAAUGCAGAUGAUCCAGGUGUCAUAUCAGAUACAUAUGAAGAGCGUGCCAUUAUCCCCGAUGUACCCUCAGACCUUCACAGCAAAAAUCUAUCAUCUAAUCCUUUAAAACAGGUCAAAUCUUCUAAUUCCUCACAUACUCUAACUGAGAAUGAAACUCACAGAAGAGGUUAUGGAACCCAAAGAGCUCAGAAAAAGCCGUAUUCAUGCUCAGAAUGUGGAAAAUGUUUUACUAACAAAUCAAAUCUUAAAAACCAUCAGAGAAUUCACACAGGAGAGAAGCCGUUUUCAUGUUCAGAAUGUGGUAAAUGUUUUACUAGAAAAACAUAUCUUGAAAACCAUCAAAGAAUUCAAACAGGAAUGAAGCCGUUUUCAUGUUCAGAAUGUGGUAAAUGUUUUACUAGAAAAACAUAUCUUGAAAGCCAUCAAAGAAUUCACAAAGGAGAGAAGCCGUUUUCAUGUUCAGAAUGUGGUAAAUGUUUUGCUAGAAAAUCACAUCUUAAAAACCAUCAAAGAAUUCACACAGGAAUGAAGCCGUUUUCAUGUUCAGAAUGUAGAAUUUUUUUUACUGAUAAACCAAGUCUUGAGAGCCACCAUAGAAUUCACACAGGAGAGAAGCCGUUUUCAUGUUCAGAAUGUGGUAAAUGUUUUACUAGAAAAACACAUCUUGAAAACCAUCAAAGAAUUCACACAGGAGAGAAGCCGUUUUCAUGUUCAGAAUGUGGUAAAUGUUUUGCUAGAAAAUCACAUCUUGAAAACCAUCAGAGAGUUCACACAGGAAUUAAGCCGUUUUCAUGUUCAGAAUGUAGGAAAUCUUUUACUGAUAAACCAAGUCUUGAUAGCCAUCAUAGAAUUCACACAGGAGAGAAGCUGUUUUUGUGUUCAGAAUGUAAGAAAUCCUUUACUAAAAAGUCAGUUUUUCUUCUACAUCAAAGAAGUCACACAGGAGAGAAGCCGUAUUCAUGUUCAGAAUGUGGAAAAUCUUUUACUCAGAAAGCACAUCUUCAGAGCCACCAAAGACUUCACACAGGGGACAAGAUGUAUUCAUGUUCAGAAUGUAGGAAAUCUUUUACUGAGAAAUCACGUCUUGAGAUACAUCAGAGAAUUCACACAGGAGAGAAGCCAUUUUUAUGUUCAGAAUGUGGAAAAUGUUUUACUAGAAAAACACAUCUUGAAAACCAUCAGCGAAUUCACACAGGAGAGAAGCCGUAUUCAUGUUCAGAAUGUGGCAAAUCAUUUUCUCGGAAAAUAAAUCUUCAGAGCCACCAGAGAAUUCACACAGGGGACAAGCUGUAUUCAUGUUCAGAAUGUUGAAAAUCUUUUACUGAGAAAUCAAGUCUUGAGUAACAUCAGAGAAUUCACACAGGAGAGAAGCCGUUUUCGUGUUCAGAAUCUGUGAAAUGUUUCAGU